rnacentral:rRNA from 1 species
AUGGUAUGCGUAGAAGUGUUUGGCGUAAGCCUGCAUGGAGCUGCCAUUGGUACAGAUCUUGGUGGUAGUAGCAAAUAAUCGAAUGAGACCUUGGAGGACUGAAGUGGAGAAGGGUUUCGUGUGAACAGUGGUUGAUCACGAGUUAGUCGGUCCUAAGUUCAAGGCGAAAGCCGAAAAUUUUCAAGUAAAACAAAAAUGCCUAACUAUAUAAACAAAGCGAAUUAUAAUACACUUGAAUAAUUUUGAACGAAAGGGAAUACGGUUCCAAUUCCGUAACCUGUUGAGUAUCCGUUUGUUAUUAAAUAUGGGCCUCGUGCUCAUCCUGGCAACAGGAACGACCAUAAAGAAGCCGUCGAGAGAUAUCGGAAGAGUUUUCUUUUCUGUUUUAUAGCCGUACUACCAUGGAAGUCUUUCGCAGAGAGAUAUGGUAGAUGGGCUAGAAGAGCAUGACAUAUACUGUUGUGUCGAUAUUUUCUCCUCGGACCUUGAAAAUUUAUGGUGGGGACACGCAAACUUCUCAACAGGCCGUACCAAUAUCCGCAGCUGGUCUCCAAGGUGAAGAGUCUCUAGUCGAUAGAAUAAUGUAGGUAAGGGAAGUCGGCAAAUUAGAUCCGUAACUUCGGGAUAAGGAUUGGCUCUGAAGAUUGAGAUAGUCGGGCUUGAUUGGGAAACAAUAACAUGGUUUAUGUGCUCGUUCUGGGUAAAUAGAGUUUCUAGCAUUUAUGUUAGUUACUUGUUCCCCGGAUAGUUUAGUUACGUAGCCAAUUGUGGAACUUUCUUGCUAAAAUUUUUAAGAAUACUAUUUGGGUUAAACCAAUUAGUUCUUAUUAAUUAUAACGAUUAUCAAUUAACAAUCAAUUCAGAACUGGCACGGACUUGGGGAAUCCGACUGUCUAAUUAAAACAAAGCAUUGUGAUGGCCCUAGCGGGUGUUGACACAAUGUGAUUUCUGCCCAGUGCUCUGAAUGUCAAAGUGAAGAAAUUCAAGUAAGCGCGGGUCAACGGCGGGAGUAACUAUGACUCUCUUAAGGUAGCCAAAUGCCUCGUCAUCUAAUUAGUGACGCGCAUGAAUGGAUUAACGAGAUUCCUACUGUCCCUAUCUACUAUCUAGCGAAACCACAGCCAAGGGAACGGGCUUGGAAUAAUUAGCGGGGAAAGAAGACCCUUUUGAGCUUGACUCUAAUCUGGCAGUGUAAGGAGACAUAAGAGGUGUAGAAUAAGUGGGAGAUAUUAGACCUCGGUUUGGUAUCGUCAAUGAAAUACCACUACUCUUAUUGUUUCCUUACUUACUUGAUUAAAUGGAACGUGUAUCAUUUCCUAGCCAUUAUACGGAUAUAUUUAUUAUAUCUUAUGGUAUUGGGUUUUGAUGCAAGCUUCUUGAUCAAAGUAUCACGAGUUUGUUAUAUAAUCGCAAACAAAUUCUUUAAUAAAACGAUGCAUUUAUGUAUUUUUGAUUUGAAAAUUUGGUAUAACUCCAAUUACUCAGGUAUGAUCCAAUUCAAGGACAUUGCCAGGUAGGGAGUUUGACUGGGGCGGUACAUCUCUCAAAUAAUAACGGAGGUGUCCCAAGGCCAGCUCAGUGCGGACAGAAACCACACAUAGAGCAAAAGGGCAAAUGCUGACUUGAUCUCGGUGUUCAGUACACACAGGGACAGCAAAAGCUCGGCCUAUCGAUCCUUUUGGUUUAAAGAGUUUUUAACAAGAGGUGUCAGAAAAGUUACCAUAGGGAUAACUGGCUUGUGGCGGCCAAGCGUUCAUAGCGACGUCGCUUUUUGAUCCUUCGAUGUCGGCUCUUCCUAUCAUUGUGAAGCAAAAUUCACCAAGCGUUGGAUUGUUCACCCAUGCAAGGGAACGUGAGCUGGGUUUAGACCGUCGUGAGACAGGUUAGUUUUACCCUACUAAUGACAAAACGUUGUUGCGACAGCAUUCCUGCGUAGUACGAGAGGAACCGCAGGUACGGACCAAUGGCACAAUACUUGUUCGAGCGAACAGUGGUAUGACGCUACGUCCGUUGGAUUAUGCCUGAACGCCUCUAAGGUCGUAUCCGUGCUGGACUGCAAUGAUAAAUAAGGGGCAAUUUGCAUUGU